GACGAACGCUGGCGGCGUGCUUAACCCAUGCCAGUCGAACGGAAAGGCCCUGCUUUUGUGGGGUGCUCGAGUGGCGAACGGGUGAGUAACACGUGAGUAACCUGCCCUUGACUUUGGGAUAACUUCAGGAAACUGGGGCUAAUACCGGAUAGGAGCUCCUGCUGCAUGGUGGGGGUUGGAAAGUUUCGGCGGUUGGGGAUGGACUCGCGGCUUAUCAGCUUGUUGGUGGGGUAGUGGCUUACCAAGGCUUUGACGGGUAGCCGGCCUGAGAGGGUGACCGGCCACAUUGGGACUGAGAUACGGCCGAGACUCGUACGGGGGGCAGCAGUGGGGAAUAUUGCACAAUGGGCGGACGCCUGAUGCAGCAACCCCGCGUGCGGGAUGACGGCCUUCGGGUUGUAAACCGCUUUCGCCUGUUACGAAGCGUGAGUGACGGUAAUGGGUAAAGAAGCACCGGCUAACUACGUG
rnacentral:rRNA from 1 species